rnacentral:rRNA from 1 species
AUGCUUCGAGAAGGCCACCUCGAUCACCCUCGAACUAGAGGGUCUUGCCUCACGAUGCCGCCUUCCGGCAUAUUCGCCCGGCUCACCAAUCUCCACCUAGGUUGCAUCCGGCUACGUGGUCCGAGCAUGCUCGGCGAGGCUGUCUCCUCGCCGCGCUGCCCGACGUUACAGAAACUGACUCUCAGUGGUACCUCGGGUCUGGGCAACUUGACCAUUCACUCGGAUUCUCUCUUGGAAAUGACACUGACGCGCGUGCACGGCUUGCAGCAGCUCAAUGUCACAGCGCCGGCACUCAAACAGUUAGAAGUGCUGUCCUGCUUUACUAAAGGUAGGAUGAUUUUGAUCCUACCGGUUGCAAACAUCUCCGCCCCUCAGCUGGAAUCCCUAAUGUGGUGGGAUGAUUAUGAUCCAAAGUUCACCCAGCUCAGCAAGAUGGAAAAUCUACAGUGCCUGAGCACCUUCCCUUUUACUGUAUAUGAAGAAACUGACUAUGUACGUGAGUUACAGAAUAGGUACUGUACGAGGCUUUUGCGGCGCUUUGAGCUCAUCCACAGUCUCAGAUUCCAACUUGUGAAUGAUCUGGAGGACAUUAUUACUAACCAACAGUACCUGAUGGAAGACAUUACCAGGCUCCCAGACAUUACAUUCAUGUUCCUGGAUAUAACGGGAAACGGGCAUUCCUUUGGACCCAGUUCAUUCCAUCUUCUCAGGAUGUGUACUGGUUUGAGAAAGUUGUCUCUUACAUUUUGUGGCACAACUAGACGCCCGGAGACCCUGUGCCCAUCAGGUUGUGUUUGUGAUCAGCCACCAAGCUGGAAAACCAAAGAACUCGCGCUGAAUUGCCUUCGAGAAGUAGAAGUCUGUAACUUGAUAGGAACUGAACAUGAAGCUGCUCUUGUAGAACGGUUAUUCGUUUGGGCAACAGUGCUACAAAAGAUGACAGUAACUUUCCAUUGCUCAGUCGCUGAAAGCAAGGCCAAGGAGUUCUGCCAGAUGCUUCAAAGUUUCUCUAGGCCAGAAAUAUCUAUGAAGGGGGCAACAUUUUGCCUAAUCUACUCAUACCAAAGUUUACCAUGGACCGAUCUUGUCGGAAACUCCAGGUGCACCGCAGGGCCUCCGAGAAUGCUUUGCAAGCUUGUUUCAUGUGCUGGUGCUGGUACCUGGUGGUCAUUUUGUACUUCUCAUCUCGGUAUAAAUUGCACUACUUGUGAACUCCAGUGUGUAAGUUACAGGAUAUUUCCUUCAGAGAUGUUGCAGGAUGUAUAA